rnacentral:rRNA from 1 species
AGGACACGCUGGCGGCGUGCCUAACACAUGCAAGUCGAGCGGGGACAAGCGAGUAGCAAUACGAGUUUGUUCUAGCGGCGGACGGGUGAGUAACGCGUGAGCAACCUGUCCCAAACAGGGGGAUAACGAAUCGAAAGGUUCACUAAUACCGCAUGAGACCACAGGGCCACAUGGUCCAGGGGUCAAAGGAGCAAUCCGGUUUGGGGUGGGCUCGCGUCUGAUUAGCCAGUUGGCGGGGUAACGGCCCACCAAAGCGACGAUCAGUAGCCGACCUGAGAGGGUGAUCGGCCACAUUGGAACUGAGAGACGGUCCAAACUCCUACGGGAGGCAGCAGUGGGGAAUAUUGGGCAAUGGGGGAAACCCUGACCCAGCAACGCCGCGUGAAGGAAGAAGGUUUUCGGAUCGUAAACUUCUAUCCUUGGUGAAAAUAAUGAUGGUAGCCAAGAAGGAAGCCCCGGCUAACUACGUG